CCUACGGGAGGCAGCAGUGAGGAAUAUUGGUCAAUGGGCGAGAGCCUGAACCAGCCAAGUAGCGUGAAGGAUGACUGCCCUAUGGGUUGUAAACUUCUUUUAUAUGGGAAUAAAAUGUUCCACGUGUGGGAUUUUGUAUGUACCAUAGGAAUAAGGAUCGGCUAACUCCGUGCCAGCAGCCGCGGUAAUACGGAGGAUCCGAGCGUUAUCCGGAUUUAUUGGGUUUAAAGGGAGCGUAGGUGGAUUGUUAAGUCAGUUGUGAAAGUUUGCGGCUCAACCGUAAAAUUGCAGUUGAAACUGGCAGUCUUGAGUACAGUAGAGGUGGGCGGAAUUCGUGGUGUAGCGGUGAAAUGCUUAGAUAUCACGAAGAACUCCGAUUGCGAAGGCAGCUCACUGGACUGCAACUGACACUGAGGCUCGAAAGUGUGGGUAUCAAACAGGAUUAGAUACCCGAGUAGUC
rnacentral:rRNA from 1 species